rnacentral:ncRNA from 2 species
GGUGAAGAGCGCCAGCGCCAAGACCCGGCUCGCUGGCCAGCAACCCUUCGAUGUGACGGGGUGCUCCGGGCAGGACCUGACCGCGCCGACAGGUCGCGGUAAGCACACGAC